rnacentral:rRNA from 1 species
ACUUUUAAUAAUAAAUCUCUUAAUUCUAGUAUCAAUAAAGAACGUAGCGAAAUAUAAUAAAUAAUAUAAAUUAUAGAAUUUAGUAAAUUAUUAAAUCUUUAAACGUAUAUUAUAUUUAUUAAUAUUCUAGUAAGUAUGCCUAUUCGAGUGUUAUUUUAAUUAUUAAGUUCUACUUACGUUGGGGAUCCGCGGCUAUCUAUAGUCCUUUAAAAUUAGUAGCGGGCUUGCUAAUUAUACUAAAUAUAGUAAUUUUAUAUUAUUAUAGUCGUACGGCGGGUUUUUACUAUAAAACCCCCUAUUUCUAAAAUUAACCUCGGAUUAAAUAAAAAUAUUCGCUGAACUUAAAUAUAUUAAUAAGUAGAGGAAAAGAAACUAAUAAGGAUUGCCCUAAUAAUAGUAAAUAAAGCGGCAAUAGUUUAAAUUUGAAAUUUGGCUUUGGCCCGAAUUGUAAUUUGUAGAGGAAGCUUUUAGUGAGGCACUUUUUGAGUCCCUUAGAAUAAGGCGCUAUAGAGGGUGAGAGCCCCGUAUAAUCGGAUGUUAAUCUAAUAUAAAACUCCUUCAACGAAUCGAAUAAUUUAAGAAUAUUAUUUAAAAUAGGAGGUAAAUUUCUUCUAAAGCUAAAUACCGGUUAAAAAUUAAUAGUAUAUAAAUAGAGUAAUUGAAAGAUAAAAAGUACUUUGAAAAGAAGGUUAAAUAGUAUAUGAAAUUAUUGAAAGGGAAGUAUUUAUAAUUAGAUUUGUACUAUUCCGAUUAUUUAGUAUUCUUACUAAUAUAUUUAGGAUAGUUUAAACUAAUAUUAAUUUUAGUAGGGGGAUAAAGGUCCGGAGAAUAUAGCUCCUCCGGGAGUAUUAUAGCCCUAGGCGUAAUACCCUCGCUAGGACCGAAGUUUGUGUAUUUAUAAGGAUACUAGUAUAAUAAUUAUUAACAACCUAUUUUAAAAUACGGAUUAAAAAAUUAAAGUUUUAUACGAAUAUUUAGGUAUAAAACCUAUAUAUAUAAUAAAAAUGAACGUAGGUGAGAGCUUCGGUAUAUUAUCGACCGAUUUUAAUAUAUUUGGAUAGAUUUAAGUAAGAGCGUUAAAUUUUAAACCUGAAAGAUAGUAAAUUAUAUUUGGAUAGGGUGAAGCUAGAGGAAAUUCUAGUAGAGGCUCAUAGUAAUUCUAAUAUAUAAAUCGAUUAUUAAAUUUAAAUAUAGGGGCGAAAGAUUAAUUAAACCAUUUAGUAACUAAUUACCGCCGAAGUUUCCCUUAGGAUAGUAAUAUUAUUCUUUAAUUUUAUAAAGUAAAGCGAAUAAUUAGGGAUUCGGGGGCACUUUUUAGCCUUUAUCUAUUCUUAAACUUUAAAUAUAUAAGAAACCCUUAUUAUUUAAUUAAAUAUAGGUAUUCGAAUAUACUAAUACUAGUAGGCUAUUUUUAGUAAGUAGAAUUAGUAAUACGGGAUAAACCGAACGCGGGGUUAAAGUACUGGAGUAGAUAUUUAUUAAAUACUAUAAAAGGUGUUAGUAUAUUUUAAUAGUAGGAUAGUAGCUAUAGAAGUUGGAAUUUAUUAAGGAUUAUAUAAUAAUUUACUUACUGAAUAUAUUAGCCUUGAAAAUGGAUAGCGUUUAAGUAUCCCACCUAUACCCUACCCUUAGGGUAGAAAUAAUACCCUAAGGAGUAGGCGGCCGUAGAAGUUAAUAACGAAGUUUAGGGCGUAAGCCCGGGUUGAACGGCUUCUAAUACAAAUUUUAAUAGUAGUAAUAAAUAUUUUAAUAAGAAUUUAAAGGACCGAAGUAGGGAAAGGUUCUAUAUAAAUAGCGGUUGGAUAUAAGUUAGUCGAUUUUAAAUUAUAAGGAAGUUCCAUUUUAAAGGGGCACUUAUACUCCGUAUAGCGAAAGGGAAGCCGGUUAAUAUUCCGGCACUUAAAUAUAAAUUUUAUACAAUAAUAUAAUUGAAUAUAGAGAUAACAGCGAAGGCCCCGGGUAGAGUUCUCUUUUCUUUUUAAUAGUUUAUUACCCUAAAAAUAAUUUAUUUGGAGAUAAGGUUUAAUAGUUAGAAGAGUCCGAUACUUCUAUUAGGUCCGGUAUAUUCUUAAUAUCCCUUAAAAAUCUGUGGGAGGAAAUAAUUCUUAUGUUAAAUUAUAUUUAUAAUUGUAAUAGGUCUUUAAGGUGAAUAGCCUCUAAUUAAUAGAAUAAUAUAAAUAAGGGAAAUUGGUAAAAUAGAUCCGUAAUUUCGGGAAAAGGAUUAAUUCUAAGGGUUAGGUACGUUAGGCUUUAGGCAAACGCCCUAGAAAUAAAUUACUACUAGCCGGGCAACUGGCCGGCGGCUUUUAGUAUCUAAGUAUAGAAGCCCUUAAUAAACUUCGGUCGUCCGGCGUAUAUUUAAUAACUAAUUUAAAAUUAGUACGGAUAAGGGGAAUCUAAUUAUCUAAUUAAAAUAUAGUAUUACAAUGGCUAGAAAGUGGUAUUAACGUAAUAUAAUUUCUGCCUAGUACUCUGAAUAUUAAAGUAAAGAAAUUUAACUAAGCGUAGGUAAAUAGCGGGAAUAAUUAUAAUUCUCUUAAAGUAAUUAAAUACUUCGUUAUUUAAUUAGUAAUAUAUAUAAAUAGAUUAAUAAGAUUCCUAUUAUUCCUAUUUACUAUUUAGCGAAACUAUAACUAAGGGAAUAGGCUUAGUAAAAUUAGCGGGGAAAGAAGAUCCUAUUAAAUUUAAUUUUAAUUUAAUAUUAUAAAAAGAUAUAGGAAGUAUAGAAUAGGUAGGAGCUUCAGUACUAAUAAAAUACUACUAUUCCUAUUAUUUUUUUAUUUAUUUAAUUAAGCAGGGCUGGAUUUUCAUCUAACUUCUAAUUUUAAAAUCUUUUAUAGGCUAACCUAAGUUAAAAAUAUUAUUAGGUAAGGAGUUUGGUUAGGGUAGUACAUUUAUUAAACUAUAAUAUAAGUAUCUUAAGGGGGGCUUAUAGAGAAUAGAAAUCUCUAAUAGAAUAAAAGGGUAAAAGUCCCUUUAAUUUUAAUUUUCAAUAUAAAUACAAACUAUAAAAGUAUAGCCUAUCGAUCCUUUAGUCCCUCGAAAUUUAAGACUAGAGGUACUAAAAAAGUUACUAUAGGAAUAAUUAGCUUAUAGUAGCUAAAUGUUUAUAGCAACGUUGCUUUUUAAUCCUUUAAUAUCGGCUCUUCCUAUUAUAUUAAAAUAGAAUUUAGUAAGUAUUAAAUUAUUUACCUACUAAUAAAGAACGUAAAUUAAGUUUAGACUAUUAUAAAAUAGGUUAGUUUUACCCUACUAAUAAUUUUAUUAUAAUAAUAAUUAAAUUUAAUAUAAAAGGAACUACUUAUUUAAAUAAUUAGUUUUUAUAAUUAUCCGACCGGGCAAUAUUAUAACGCUACUAUCUAUUAAAUAAUAGUUAAACGCUUUUAAAUUAGAAUCUAUAUUAGAAUAUAAUAAUACCUCUAAUAUAUUAUAGACGUAUAAGAAUAGGCUCCGGCCUCGUAUUUUAAUAAGCGAUUCCUCUAUUAACCUUAAAGUGGUUAGUGGUAAUUCGCGUAUUGUAAUUUUAAUACGCGCUAGAUCA